CCUACGGGAGGCUGCAGUGGGGAAUAUUGGACAAUGGGGGGAACCCUGAUCCAGCCAUGCCGCGUGUGUGAAGAAGGCCCUCGGGUUGUAAAGCACUUUCAGUGAGGAAGAACGCCUGGUGGUUAAUACCCAUCAGGAAAGACAUCACUCACAGAAGAAGCACCGGCUAACUCCGUGCCAGCAGCCGCGGUAAUACGGAGGGUGCGAGCGUUAAUCGGAAUUACUGGGCGUAAAGCGCGCGUAGGUGGCUUGAUAAGCCGGUUGUGAAAGCCCCGGGCUCAACCUAGGAACGGCAUCCGGAACUGUCAAGCUAGAGUGCAGGAGAGGAAGGUAGAAUUCCCGGUGUAGCGGUGAAAUGCGUAGAGAUCGGGAGGAAUACCAGUGGCGAAGGCGGCCUUCUGGACUGACACUGACACUGAGGUGCGAAAGCGUGGGUAGCAAACAGGAUUAGAUACCCCUGUAGUC
rnacentral:rRNA from 1 species